rnacentral:ncRNA from 1 species
GCAGAGUAGACUGCCGUGCGUUAAGUGCUGUCGGGACGGGGAGUUGCCCGACGGACGAAGGAUAUUACCGCGGUUCGGCUGUCGCAUCCCGCUGC